UACGUAGGGUGCAAGCGUUGUCCGGAAUUAUUGGGCGUAAAGAGUUCGUAGGCGGUUUGUCGCGUCCGUUGUGAAAACUCGGGGCUUAACCCCGAGACUGCAGUGGAUACGGGCAGACUAGAGGUAGGUAGGGGAGAAUGGAAUUCCCGGUGUAGCGGUGAAAUGCGCAGAUAUCGGGAGGAACACCGGUGGCGAAGGCGGUUCUCUGGGCCUUACCUGACGCUGAGGAGCGAAAGCGUGGGGAGCGAACAGG
rnacentral:rRNA from 1 species